GACGAACGCUGGCGGCGCGCCUAACACAUGCAAGUCGAACGGAGCUGAGAGAAUCUUGCUUUGCUUAGCUUAGUGGCGAACGGGUGAGUAACGCGUGAGUAACCGGCCCUGGGGGGGGGGACAACAGAUGGAAACGACUGCUAAUACCGCAUAAGCCCACGAUCCGGCAUCGGAUUGAGGGAAAAGGAUUUAUUCGCGUCAGGGUGGACUCGCGUCCAAUUAGCUAGUUGGUGAGGUUACGGCCCACCAAAGGGACGAGUGGUAGCCGGAAAGAGAGGUUGGACCGACACACUUGGGGGGGGACACGGUCCGGAAUCCUAGGGGAGGGGCGAAUGGGGGAUAUUGCAAAAUGGGGGAAACCCUGAUGCAGCGACGCCGCGUGGAGGAAGAAGGUUUUCGGAUUGUACACUACUGUAGUUAGGGACGAUAAUGACGGUACCUAAAAAGAAAGCACCGGCUAACUACGUG
rnacentral:rRNA from 1 species